rnacentral:rRNA from 1 species
AUUGAACGCUGGCGGCAGGCCUAACACAUGCAAGUCGAACGGUAACAGGAAACAGCUUGCUGUUUCGCUGACGAGUGGCGGACGGGUGAGUAAUGUCUGGGAAACUGCCUGAUGGAGGGGGAUAACUACUGGAAACGGUAGCUAAUACCGCAUAACGUCGCAAGACCAAAGAGGGGGACCUUCGGGCCUCUUGCCAUCGGAUGUGCCCAGAUGGGAUUAGCUAGUAGGUGGGGUAACGGCUCACCUGGGCGACGAUCCCUAGCUGGUCUGAGAGGAUGACCAGCCACACUGGAACUGAGACACGGUCCAGACUCCUACGGGAGGCAGCAGUGGGGAAUAUUGCACAAUGGGCGCAAGCCUGAUGCAGCCAUGCCGCGUGUAUGAAGAAGGCCUUCGGGUUGUAAAGUACUUUCAGCGGGGAGGAAGGGAGUAAAGUUAAUACCUUUACUCAUUGACGUUACCCGCAGAAGAAGCACCGGCUAACUCCGUG